rnacentral:sRNA from 2 species
GCACCCGUCAUCGGGGAGUAGCCGCCCUGCCACCACCGGCAGGGGCCCGCGUCAACACACUUGGUCCUCACGACCAUGGCGCGGGCAGCAUCCAGCCUGGCAAGACCUUUGACUGCACGCCUUCCGGUCGGGCCGGGGUGGCGGCGCAGUCCAUCGUCUUUUCGCCGGCCCCGGGAU